AGUAAUUCAUUUGUCGCUAAUCGUGAUUCAAAUAUUAGCUUUAUUUUCACUAAGAGUGAGUACGAACUUCAUCUCCGUGUGUUGGUUUGGUUAUUACAACGCGUGUGUUUAUUAAUAGAACGCCCGGUAGUAGGUGUCGUCACUUCCGGUAUAGAACAAGGUGCGUGGACCCAAAUUGAUACCCUGCUAGGAAAGCGGCUAUAAUGCCAUGCAAACCGACAUUUUGGCAGAAAAUUGUGAUUGUACUGCAUAAUUUGAAAGAUCUAUAAACAUUUGGCGGCAAGCACAUCUGGUGGUAGCUUCUAAGGCAUUGACUUUCCUCACAAGAGGCCCAAAAGAGUGACCUGUCCUCAAAACUUGUCUCGGACUCAUGGCACAUGCACACUUGACAUAUCAGAGGUAUAAGGGAUUGAGAUGCACUCAGGACAGCCUGAUCAUGAUGAAUAGAUAACACAGACUCACAGGACGCUGAUGUCAGAUGAGGUGUCUGAUGAGGUGACACAGACUUGCAGGAGGAUGUAGACUGAUUAGGUGACACCGACUCAUUAGCAGACAACAGUACAGAUGUCUUUUUACAAAUAUAACAAAACCAUUCACUGCCAACCAAAAGACUCAAAUCAACCUCUGCAUGGUCUACACUUGGAAGACAGUCCCUGUGGAACCAAAGACUGCAUGCUUGGUUGUCACAGCCAACCCACAGAAUGCCGUUGUCCUCGUCAUCUGUCAUCCCUCUUUUUCCACAAAUUGGGCAUGUGUAAAUGUCCUCGUCAAGGAUGGAAGACAUCAUCGGAUGACUCUCCUUCCUUCUCCUUCAGUUGGUUGACUAUUUCAUCCCCUAUUUAGACAAAUCAGUACAAAAAUUGAGUUCCAAUGAUGGGUAGGAAAAUGUCCGCAAGCUCAGACGGUAUCAGGCCUUUGGUUACAAGUGGAUGGCCUCUGACAAAUUGACCACAUGUUUCACAAAGGGGGUCAUUGUGGUUGGUACAUGGAGAGCUUGGUUGAUUGUCUCCCCCUGGACCAGGUUGAGGUGAAUACUCUGGGUCACAAGGAGCAAGCUUGUCCUUGUCUAUGGCAUUUUCAUUCACUGGACAUAUGCCACAUUUCCUAAAACCCGUUUUGAUAUAGUGUGGACUGAAAACUCUGUCAACUGCUGCUCUAAGGAUCUGAGCAAACCUAUAGUGGACGAAAAAGGACAACAUCUAGUGGUUGGAGCAAGUGUGUUGUGUGGGGAGGGAGACAGUACAACUCCACCUGGUUUGCUCUAGCAGUUUCAAUAAGGUCAAUGGACAAGUGGCUUUCAUGAUUAUCCAUGAUGAGGAGAAGUGGACGUUGUUUACUUGCAUGGACCAGGAACACCUGUUUGAACCACUUACUAAAUAGAUCUCCAUCCAUGUAGCCAUUGGGUGAUGUACCAAAUAGCCAGUCACCAGGAAUUCCUGAAUGUUGAUGAAAUUAUGCCUUAUUUCACAACACAUUUUUGAAAAACGUACCAUCUCUGUAAGCUCCACUUGGAAAACUUUUUUCAUACACUACAAAAGUUGGCAAUACUUUUCCAUCUCCGGACACACAUAUGGUUGCUGUUGUAUGUGCCGUAGUGACCACCUGUCGAGUAUAGGCCUGGCCUUUGUUGAUACAGACCCUGUCUUGAGCUGCAACUCCCUUCCCAAAUCCAGUUUCAUCAACGUUAUAAACCAGGUGUGGUUUAUUUUCAAUAUCUGAAUUGAUUAAAAGAAGGGAAAAGUGCUGAGUCAUGACAGUUGCAUUUGACAUGCGAACUCUUCCUCCAUCAAGGGUCUGUGGCUUUCGCAUUUUGAAAUUUGGAUGCCUUCUCAGAAAAUUUCGAAACCAUUUAUAGGAUGGUCCAUUUUCUCCUAUUGUUGUUUGUCUUUCUUUUUUCUUAACUAUACCCCGUACAAACAGUUUGAUCAUCUUAUAUGUCAGUGGCAGUGAUCUUUCUUGACAAUAUUCAAGAUAUGUACAGAGGUGAAUCUCUUCCUCUGCUGUAAGCACUCUUAUGAGUUGGCCUUUCAACAAAUUUCUUGCAUGACGUUUUACAGUCAUAUGGCUCAGUCCGUGACUCUUAGCUGCCCGUUUAAUUGGGAUGCCCCUGUUAACAUCAUUUACUGCAGAUUGCAGUUGUGAUAGACUGUAUUCCUUGUAUUUUACUGAAUAAAUGAAAUAAAAAAAAUCUGAAGCCA